UACGUAGGGUGCGAGCGUUAAUCGGAAUUACUGGGCGUAAAGUGUGCGCAGGUGGCCGCGCAAGUCGAGUGUGAAAUCCCCGAGCUUAACUUGGGAACUGCAUCCGAUACUGGAUGGCUUGAAUCCGGGAGAGGGAUGCAGAAUUCCAGGUGUAGCGGUGAAAUGCGUAGAUAUCUGGAGGAAUACCGGUGGCGAAGGCGGCAUCCUGGACCGGCAUUGACGCUGAGGAGCGAAAGCUAGGGGAGCAAACGGG
rnacentral:rRNA from 1 species